CCCUUAUGGGCGCUGCGUUGGAAUGAGUAGAAUUUAAAUCUCUUUACGACUAUCGAUUGGAGGGCAAGUCUGGUGCCAGCAGCCGCGGUAAUUCCAGCUCCAAUAGCGUAUAUUAAAGUUGUUGCGGUUAAAAAGCUCGUAGUUGGAUUUCUGUUGAGGUCGGCCGGUGUGCAUUACGUGUAUUAUCAGGUUUGGUCUUGGCAUCCUCUGAGGCACGAGGGACUUUAUUGGCUCUCGAGUUUUCAGACUUUUACUUUGAGGAAAUUAGAGUGUUCACGGCAAGCAAGCGCUUUGAAUACAUUAGCAUGGAAUAAUAAUAUAGGACCUUCGUUCUAUUUUGUUGGUUUCUAGAACUUGGGUAAUGAUUAAUAGGGACAAUUGGGGGCAUUCGUAUUAACGCGUCAGAGGUGAAAUUCUUAGAUUGCGUUACGGCGAACUACUGCGAAAGCAUUUGCCAAAGAUGUUUUCAUUGAUCAAGAACGAAAGUAUGGGGAUCGAAGAUGAUUAGAUACCGUCGUAGUCUAUACCAUAAACUAUGCCAACUAGGGAUUGGACAGGUACAUUUAUCGACCUGUUCAG
rnacentral:rRNA from 1 species